UACAGAGGGUGCGAGCGUUGUUCGGAAUUAUUGGGCGUAAAGGGCGCGUAGGCGGUGCGGUAAGUCACCUGUGAAAUCUCCUGGCUCAACUGGGAGCUUGCAGGCGAAACUGCCGUGCUGGAGUGUGGGAGAGGUGCGUGGAAUUCCAGGUGUAGCGGUGAAAUGCGUAGAUAUCUGGAGGAACACCGGUGGCGAAGGCGGCAUCCUGGACCGGCAUUGACGCGUGAGGCGCGAAAGCCAGGGGAGCAAAGCGGG
rnacentral:rRNA from 1 species